GACGAACGCUGGCGGCGUGCUUAACACAUGCAAGUCGAACGGAAAGGCCCUGCUUGCAGGGUACUCGAGUGGCGAACGGGUGAGUAACACGUGGGUGAUCUGCCCUGCACUUCGGGAUAAGCCUGGUCAACUGGGUCUAAUACCGGAUAGGAGCCAUUUUUAGUGUGAUGGUUGGAAAGUUUUUUCGGUGUUGGAUGAGCUCGCGGCCUAUCGGCUUGUUGGGGGGGUAAUGGCCUACCAAGGCGGCUACGGGUGGCCGGCCUGAGGGGGUGGACGGCCACACUGGGACUGAGAGACGGCCGAGACACCGACGGGAGGGAGAAGGGGGGAAGACUGCACAAGGGGCGCAAGCCGGAUGCAGCGAGGCCGCGGGGGGGAGGACGGCGUUAGGGUUGAAAAACCCAUGCGCUAGGGACGAAGCUUUUUGUGACGGUACCUAGAUAAGAAGCACCGGCUAACUACGUG
rnacentral:rRNA from 1 species